UACAGAGGGGGCAAGCGUUGUUCGGAAUUACUGGGCGUAGAGGGCGCGUAGGCGGCCUUCUAAGUCGAACGUGAAAUCCCCGGGCUCAACCCGGGAACUGCGUCCGAUACUGAAAGGCUUGAAUCCGGGAGAGGGAUGUGGAAUUCCAGGUGUAGCGGUGAAAUGCGUAGAUAUCAGGAGGAACACCGAUGGCGAAGGCAGGUCUCUGGGCUGACACUGACGCUCAUGCACGAAAGCGUGGGGAGCAAACAGG
rnacentral:rRNA from 1 species